UGGGUCGACUGGACGGUCGCGUGGCGGGAGACCGCACCGAGGAACGUCCGGGCUCCACAGGGCAGGACGGUGGGUAACGCCCACCCGGAGCAAUCCGCGAGACAGUGCCACAGAGAGCAGACCGCCCCGCAAGGGGUAAGGGUGAAAGGGUGGUGUAAGAGACCACCGGGGGCCGUGGUGACGCGGCCCGCCAGGUAAACCUCGUCCGGAGCAAGGUCAGACAGAGGAUGUUGACGCGGCUCGCCGAGUCCUCGGGUAGACCGCUGGAGCGCCACGGCAACGUGUCGCCGAGAGAGAUGACCGUCGAAGGGGCGAAGAACCCCGGAACAGAACCCGGCGUACAGGUCGGCCCAUUCG
rnacentral:RNase_P_RNA from 2 species